AUACUUACCUGGCAGGGAACCGUUGGUGAUCAGCAGGGCCAAAGUUCCAGGACGAGGCUAUCCCAUUGCACUUUGGGUGUGCUAAAGCCUGCAAUAUUCCCAAAUGCGGAAUACUCGACUGCAUAAUUUGUGGUAAUGGGUGACUGUGUUCACGCUCUUUUU